UGGGCGGCAUGCCUUACACAUGCAAGUCGAACGGCAGCACGGGGGCAACCCUGGUGGCGAGUGGCGAACGGGUGAGUAAUACAUCGGAACGUGUCCUGUAGUGGGGGAUAGCCCGGCGAAAGCCGGAUUAAUACCGCAUACGAUCUACGGAAGAAAGCGGGGGAUCUUCGGACCUCGCGCUGCAGGGGCGGCCGAUGGCAGAUUAGCUAGUUGGUGGGGUAAAGGCCUACCAAGGCGACGAUCUGUAGCUGGUCUGAGAGGACGACCAGCCACACUGGGACUGAGACACGGCCCAGACUCCUACGGGAGGCAGCAGUGGGGAAUUUUGGACAAUGGGGGCAACCCUGAUCCAGCAAUGCCGCGUGUGUGAAGAAGGCCUUCGGGUUGUAAAGCACUUUUGUCCGGAAAGAAAACUUACCCGCUAAUAUCGGGUGGGGAUGACGGUACCGGAAGAAUAAGCACCGGCUAACUACGUGCCAGCAGCCGCGGGUAAUACA
rnacentral:rRNA from 1 species